UCACCUGGAGGGAGCACGGCCGUGGGGACGGGCCCCAGAGAGAUUUCGGCAGCAGGGAGGCUGCGCGGGCCCAGCCUGCGGACGUGCGUUCCCACGCAGCACUGCGGCCCAGGGGCUGGCGCGGCAGGGCCCCCGGUGUCCUUGGUGGCACUGUGCGCCCUCGCCGCUCGCCCCUGGGACUGGCACGGCAGACAGGACAGCACCCAGGGGAGUCAAGGGCACUGACGAGACCAGACUAGGCGAGGCGCCGGAGCCUGGCGGCGAGCGAGGCCAAGGCGGGCCUCUGCGGGUGACAACGGAGCAGAGAUGGGUGACUCUGCGCUCGCACCGGAGACAGCCUCGUCUCCAGUGGGGGUGGACACACUGCCAGCACCACAGGCCGGACGCCAGGAUGUGCUUGGAGGGACAUGACACAGUCCGGUGUGACGGAGAGGGACAGACGUGACGCCGUCCGGCCUUCCUGAACACUCUCGGCUGGCCCCGCGGGGGAGCUGCCACACCCAGCGUCUGUUCCUUUGCCUUCCUGAAGGAGCACGUGCAUGACUGCUGCUCUCUGGACCCCAGAACCCUCAAACGACAAGAGAUGGUGCUACCCAGCUCAUGCCUGGGCCUUGGACCCGGACUUCUUCAAGUCCUCCUAGCUCUGACUCAAGAAUAUGCUGCAUUCUGGAGCCACUACACUACUUGACUCAGGAAUCAGCUCUGGAAGGUUGAGCCAAAGGAACAGACGUCCCACACCACCGGACCAACGGCACCCGCGGGGUUCCCCACCCCCCGCCCGGCCACUCCACCUCGGCGGCCACCCCCUGCUGCGCCCUGGAGACACCACCAGCCUCCCUCUCUCCCCUUCCUCCUUUUUUUCCUCUGUCUUUUCUCUUCUCUUCUUUCCUCUCCUUUGCUCAGAAGACUCGGGGCAUCCAGGACUCUGUGUCCCCGUCCUUCUUGAAUUAAUUUGCACUAAGUCGUUUGCACUGGUUUGGAGUCCUGGAACCAGCCCCGGGUCUCGGAGCGGGUGUGUGAGCUGCCGAGUGGCCUGGCCUCCUCGGCCCGCGCCCCCUCAGCACCUGCCAUUGUCCAUCUCUGUCUGGGGGUGACUGGGUGGGGGCCUGAGUGUGUGGGGCCCCGCCCUCCCCUCUCCUAGUCUGGAAGCUCCGACCACCGAGCAGACCUCAAACGCUGCACUGAGUGUCCAUCUCGUCAUGUGCCCCUCCUCGCCAGGGCCACCCCAGAGCCCUGGACUCAUCAAUAAACUCAGUUACC
rnacentral:lncRNA from 1 species